rnacentral:rRNA from 1 species
GAUUAACGCGAAGAACCUUACCUGGGUUUGACAUACACCCUGCCGCUCCAGAGAUGGGGCUUCUUUUGGGGGUGUACAGGUGGUGCAUGGCUGUCGUCAGCUCGUGUCGUGAGAUGUUGGGUUAAGUCCCGCAACGAGCGCAACCCUCGUUCUAUGUUGCCAGCACGUAAUGGUGGGGACUCAUAGGAGACUGCCGGGGUCAACUCGGAGGAAGGUGGGGAUGACGUCAAGUCAUCAUGCCCCUUAUGUCCAGGGCUUCACGCAUGCUACAAUGGCCGGUACAAAGGGCUGCGAUCCCGUAAGGGGGAGCGAAUCCCAAAAAGCCGGUCUCAGUUCGGAUUGGGGUCUGCAACUCGACCCCAUGAAGUCGGAGUCGCUAGUAAUCGCAGAUCAGCAACGCUGCGGUGAAUACGUUCCCGGGCCUUGUACACACCGAA